AAAAAAAAAAAAAAAAAAAACCCUCUUUCCACCCUAAUCUCCUCCCCUUCCCAUCUCAAGGAAGAGGAGGCGGCUCGGGAGAGGCCGAGCAGCACCCCCCUUCCCCCCCCUUCCUUUUCCCCGGCCGGCCUGUGGCACCCGGACUGGCCUACGGCCGCGCGGGCGGCUCACGGCCGCGACGGGUGGCCUGCGGCCGAGGUCGCGGCCGGCGCCGGCGCUCGCGAUCGGCGGCUAGAAUUUCAGAACAAACAGCUUUGAGAAGAUGUUACCCAUAGGCUCACCUGCUCAGCAAAAGGAGUUGGUGGUGUGAACUUAAGAGUCUCAAGAAGGUUCUCAUAGGUUAGAUGAUUGGGCUCGAAUACGAACAUGCCGGCAUUGAAGUAGAGUGGAGGAGGAGCUCCCAUCUCGGCAGGCCAUGCCACCUUUUCGGGGCACUGCUGGCAAUAGCCAAUAGAGUACUGGCGAGAGUGGCUCCAUGUCUUCUCACAGAAGCAGUCCAUCACAGCAUAGAAGUAGCCAUCGGGCAUGUCAAAGAGGUGGUCUAUGUUAUCGAACACUUGGAUAUCCGCAUCAA